rnacentral:rRNA from 1 species
GCGCCUUGCCAGCCCGCUCAAGAACUACAAAUGAAUUGACGGGGGAGCACUACGAACGGGUGGAGCCUGCGGUUUAAUUGGAUUCAACGCCGGAAAUCCUCGACCGGGGGCGACAGCAAUAUGAAGGUCAGGCUGAAGACCUUACCCGAUUAGCUGAGAGGUGGUGCAUGGCCGUCGUCAGUUCGUACUGUGAAGCAUCCUGUUAAGUCAGGCAACGAGCGAGACCCACGUCCACAGUUGCCAGCAUACCCUCCGGGGUGAUGGGUACACUGUGGAGACCGCCGCUGCUAAAGCGGAGGAAGGAGUGGGCAACGGUAGGUCAGUAUGCCCCGAAUCUCCCGGGCUACACGCGGGCUACAAUGGUUGGUACAAUGGGCAUCUACCCCGAAAGGGGAAGGAAAUCUCUUAAAGCCAAUCGUAGUUCGGAUUGAGGGCUGCAACUCGCCCUCAUGAAGCUGGAAUCCGUAGUAAUCGCGUUUCAACAGAACGCGGUGAAUACGUCCCUGCUCCUU